AUGGCUGUCGUCAGCUCGUGUCGUGAGAUGUUGGGUUAAGUCCCGCAACGAGCGCAACCCCUACCCUUAAUUGCCAUCGGGUUAUGCCGGGCACUUUAGGGGGACUGCCGGUGACAAGCCGGAGGAGGGUGGGGAUGACGUCAAGUCCUCAUGGCCUUUAUGACCAGGGCUACACACGUGUUACAAUGGGAGUUACAGAGGGAAGCUAAGCCGCGAGGCCAUGCCAAUCCCAAAAAAACUUUCUCAGUUCGGAUCGCAGUCUGCAACUCGACUGCGUGAAGCUGGAAUCGCUAGUAAUCGCGGAUCAGCACGCCGCGGUGAAUACGUUCCCGGGCCUUGUACACACCGCCCGUCACACCAUGGGAGCCGACAAGGGCAGAAGUCGCCGAGCUAACCUUCGGGAAGCAGGCGCCCAAGCUGUUGUUGACGACUGGGGUGAAGUCGUAACAAGGUAGCCGUAGGAGAACCUGCGGCUGGAUCACCUCCUUUCUAAGGACGCCAGAGAUGCUUUAUGCUUAUCUCUGGAUAGUCAAAGUCGAAACAGACUCUCUUCUCUUCUCUCCCUUUUCUCCUGUAAAUUCUAAGUUAUGAAUUUAGAGCAACGAAGGAAUUAGAUUCGUUACUGUGGACUCCCAACUUCAAGAGGGGCCUGUAGCUCAGCUUGGUUAGAGCGCAUCCCUGAUAAGGAUGAGGCCGGUGGUUCAAGUCCACCCAGGCCCACCAGCUCAUUUUUGAUUUGGAUUUGGCGACUAUAAUGGUAGCAAAUCUAAGGCAUGGUAAUCCAAAUCAGAUAUUAAAGAUCGGGGGAUUAGCUCAGCUGGUAGAGCGCCUGCUUUGCAAGCAGGAGGUCAGCGGUUCGAACCCGCUAUCCUCCACCAAAUUAAUGAACAGUAAAAAAGGUGGUGUAGCUUAAGCAGAAGAUAAGCUUCAGCAAUUAUUUAAUAAUUUCUGAAUCUUAUUUUUUAAUAUCUUAGACAAUUGAAUCGGAGGUUUUGGAGACACAAGAUCAAAUGUGAGGGUCUCCAAGGGUUGACGAUCUUGACUGUUAAAGUCAGGUAGUAAGGGCGCAGGGCGGAUGCCUUGGCUCUGGGAAGCGAAGAAGGACGUGGCCAGCUGCGAUAAGCCUCGGGGAAGAGCAAACAUCUUUUGAUCCGGGGAUUUCCGAAUGGGGAAACCCGG
rnacentral:sRNA from 1 species